GGGUCUGCUGUGCAUUUCCCAAUAUAGAAGUAGGCUAUGCUCUUCAGAUUCAUGAAUUUUAACAAGUCCAUGAGCCAGCUCUCAACCAUGUCAUGAUGUGCCAAAAAAACCUGAUGUUCUUCACUGUUUCCUUGGCAUAUGCCCAGUUGGCAUUCAGUUGGAUGACUUAGGUACCUUCCAGGUAUAUGAAAGUCUGAAACAGUAGUCACAGAACAUGACGUGGAAUGAAUUCAGAAAUUGAACAUGAUUGUCAGCACAUGAAAGGUGCCUCAGGGAGAGUGCAGUGACUGACAAGUGGUGACUGUGAGAUGCACAGGGAACAGAUGGAGCAGCUGGUGCGGUGCAUGAAAGGUCAAGUGCUGGGACUGAAGGUGUCCUGUUGCAGACAGGCCAGUGUCUCAGUGUGACCAUGAGAUUCAGCAGUCAGCCUUGCCCAGGUGUCCUCUCCAGUCUCCAGUGGACCUGGAAGUUGGAGGCAGAAGUGGGGGUGCCAGGAUCCACAUGUGUUACUGUGUGGUCCUGAGUGGAUUUGCCAUAACAAGUACAUUACUUAUGUCUGGUUUAUCAUACGAUGCUGGUCUUUAUAACUAAUCAUUAACCUUCUACACUAUUUUCC
rnacentral:lncRNA from 1 species